rnacentral:ncRNA from 1 species
CAGGGCGUUCAGUUCGUCGGAUUAGACCCGAAACCGAGUGAUCUAGCCAUGAGCAGGUUGAAGGUGGGUAACACCACUGGAGGACCGAACCGGUGUCUGUUGAAAAAGUCUCGGAUGACUUGUGGCUAGGGGUGAAAGGCCAAUCAAACUCGGAAAUAGCUGGUUCUCCGCGAAAGCUAUUUAGGUAGCGCCUCGCAUGUAUGCUCUCAGGGGGUAGAGCACUGGAUGGGCUAGGGCCUCUUACCGAGGUACCAAACCUAACCAAACUCCGAAUACCUGAGAUGACUUGUGCGGGAGACACACGGCGGGUGCUAACGUCCGUCGUGGAGAGGGAAACAACCCUGACCAACAGCUAAGGUCCCCAAAUCAUGGCUAAGUGUGAAAGGAUGUGAGGAUCCCAAAACAACCAGGAGGUUGGCUUAGAAGCAGCCAUCCUUUAAAGAAAGCGUAACAGCUCACUGGUCUAAAUAAGGGUUCUUGCGCCGAAAAUGUAACGGGGCUCAAGCCAUGUACCGAAGCUUUGGUUUACGUCAAGUAUGUACGUGGUAGCGGAGCGUUCUGUAAGUCUGCGAAGGAGGACCUGUGAGGGCCUCUGGAGAUAUCAGAAGUGCGAAUGCUGACAUGAGUAACGAUCAGGGGUGUGAAAGACACCCCCGCCGAAAGUCCAAGGGUUCCUGCGUAAAGCUAAUCUGCGCAGGGUUAGCCGGCUCCUAAGGCGAGGCCGAAAGGCGUAGUCGAUGGGAAUGGGGUCAAUAUUCCCCAGCCAGUGGGUAGUGACGAAUCCUCGUAAAUCGUUCGGUCUUAUUGGAUUGAACGGGCGGUGAAGGGGUUCCAGGAAAUAGCUCCCACAUUAGACCGUACCCGAAACCGACACAGGUGGACUGGUAGAGAAUACCAAGGCGUUUGAGAGAACUACACUGAAGGAACUCGGCAAUUUACCUCCGUAACUUCGGGAUAAGGAGGCCUUCUGUAUGGGCAACCAUGCAGGAGGGGCACAGACCAGGGGGUAGCGACUGUUUACCUAAAACACAGGGCUCUGCGAAAUCGUAAGAUGACGUAUAGGGUC